UGUACGUACAAGCAGUGGGAGCACGCUUAGGCGUGUGACUGCGUACCUUUUGUAUAAUGGGUCAGCGACUUAUAUUCUGUAGCAAGGUUAACCGAAUAGGGGAGCCGAAGGGAAACCGAGUCUUAACUGGGCGUUAAGUUGCAGGGUAUAGACCCGAAACCCGGUGAUCUAGCCAUGGGCAGGUUGAAGGUUGGGUAACACUAACUGGAGGACCGAACCGACUAAUGUUGAAAAAUUAGCGGAUGACUUGUGGCUGGGGGUGAAAGGCCAAUCAAACCGGGAGAUAGCUGGUUCUCCCCGAAAGCUAUUUAGGUAGCGCCUCGUGAAUUCAUCUCCGGGGGUAGAGCACUGUUUCGGCAAGGGGGUCAUCCCGACUUACCAACCCGAUGCAAACUGCGAAUACCGGAGAAUGUUAUCACGGGAGACACACGGCGGGUGCUAACGUCCGUCGUGAAGAGGGAAACAACCCAGACCGCCAGCUAAGGUCCCAAAGUCAUGGUUAAGUGGGAAACGAUGUGGGAAGGCCCAGACAGCCAGGAUGUUGGCUUAGAAGCAGCCAUCAUUUAAAGAAAGCGUAAUAGCUCACUGGUCGAGUCGGCCUGCGCGGAAGAUGUAACGGGGCUAAACCAUGCACCGAAGCUGCGGCAGCGACGCUUAUGCGUUGUUGGGUAGGGGAGCGUUCUGUAAGCCUGUGAAGGUGUGCUGUGAGGCAUGCUGGAGGUAUCAGAAGUGCGAAUGCUGACAUAAGUAACGAUAAAGCGGGUGAAAAGCCCGCUCGCCGGAAGACCAAGGGUUCCUGUCCAACGUUAAUCGGGGCAGGGUGAGUCGACCCCUAAGGCGAGGCCGAAAGGCGUAGUCGAUGGGAAACAGGUUAAUAUUCCUGUACUUGGUGUUACUGCGAAGG
rnacentral:rRNA from 1 species